GACGAACGCUGGCGGCGUGCUUAACACAUGCGAGUCGAACGGAAAGGCCCUGCUUUUGUGGGGUGCUCGAGUGGCGAACGGGUGAGUAACACGUGAGUAACCUGCCCUUGACUUUGGGAUAACUUCAGGAAACUGGGGCUAAUACCGGAUAGGAGCUCCUGCUGCAUGGUGGGGGUUGGAAAGUUUCGGCGGUUGGGGAUGGACUCGCGGCUUAUCAGCUUGUUGGUGGGGUAGUGGCUUACCAAGGCUUUGACGGGUAGCCGUCCUGAGAGGGUGACCGGCCACAUUGGGACUGAGAUACGGCCCAGACUCCUACGGGAGGCAGCAGUGGGGAAUAUUGCACAAUGGGCGGAAGCCUGAUGCAGCAACGCCGCGUGCGGGAUGACGGCCUUCGGGUUGUAAACCGCUUUCACCUGUGACGAAGCGUGAGUGACGGUAAUGGGUAAAGAAGCACCGGCUAACUACGUG
rnacentral:rRNA from 1 species